ensembl:snRNA Gm23589 predicted gene, 23589
CUCGCUGAUUCAGCGGGACAUAUACUAAAGUUGAACUGAUAGAGAAGAACAACAUGGCCCCUGCUCGUGGACGAUAGGCAAAUUCAUAAAGUAUCCUGGUACCAU